rnacentral:rRNA from 1 species
GGCGAACGCUGGCGGCGUGCUUAACACAUGCAAGUCGAACGGAAAGGCCCUGCUUUUGUGGGGUGCUCGAGUGGCGAACGGGUGAGUAACACGUGAGUAACCUGCCCUUGACUUUGGGAUAACUUCAGAAAACUGGGGCUAAUACCGGAUAGGAGCUCCUGCUGCAUGGUGGGGGUUGGAAAGUUUCGGCGGUUGGGGAUGGACUCGCGGCUUAUCAGCUUGUUGGUGGGGUAGUGGCUUACCAAGGCUUUGACGGGUAGCCGGCCUGAGAGGGUGACCGGCCACAUUGGGACUGAGAUACGGCCCAGACUCCUACGGGAGGCAGCAGUGGGGAAUAUUGCACAAUGGGCGGAAGCCUGAUGCAGCAACGCCGCGUGCGGGAUGACGGCCUUCGGGUUGUAAACCGCUUUCGCCUGUGACGAAGCGUGAGUGACGGUAAUGGGUAAAGAAGCACCGGCUAACUACGUG